rnacentral:lncRNA from 1 species
GGUAUACCGCCAUCUUGGAUUGUACAAUCACAGUAAAAAAUCGGUCUAGUUAUUUGUCUAAAUCUGCAAAUUUGGAAACAGAUUUUGCAAUUUAAAGGUUAGACUGUUUAAUAAUAUAAAGAAACUUGUAAUUUAUUGUAUAAUUCAAAAUAUUUAAACAAAUAUCAUUUUUUUUGCUUUUAGAAUCAUUUUUUUCAAAUGGGCC